rnacentral:rRNA from 1 species
CCUACGGGUGGCAGCAGUCGAGAAUCAUUGACAAUGGGGGAAACCCUGAUGGAGCGACGCCGCGUGGGGGAAUGAAGGACUGCGGAUUGUAAACCCCUGUCAUGUGGGAGCAAAUUCAAAAGAGAGUACCACAAGAGGAAGAGACGGCUAAACCUGGACCAGCAGCCGCGGGAAUACAGAGGUCUCAAGCGGGGUUCGGAAUCACUGGGCGUAAAGGGUGGGUAGGCUGUUGUGUAAGUCGUGUGUGAAAGGCGCGGGCUCAACCCGCGGACGGCAGAUGAUACUGCGAGACUAGAGUAAUCGAGAGGGAUCCGGAAUGCGCGGUGUAGCAGUGAAAUGCGUAGAUAUCGCGAGGAACUCACGUGGCGAAGGCGGGUUCCUGGACCUUAACUGACGCUGAGGCACGAAGGCCAGGGGAGCGAACAGGAUUAGAUACCCGUGUAGUC